AGCAGCAGCCGCGGGAAUACGAAGGGGGCUAGCGUUGUUCGGAAUCACUGGGCGUAAAGCGCACGUAGGCGGACACUUAAGUCAGAGGUGAAAUCCCAAGGCUCAACCUUGGAACUGCCUUUGAUACUGGGUGUCUUGAGUUCGGGAGAGGUGAGUGGAACUGCGAGUGUAGAGGUGAAAUUCGUAGAUAUUCGCAAGAACACCAGUGGCGAAGGCGGCUCACUGGCCCGAUACUGACGCUGAGGUGCGAAAGCGUGGGGAGCAAACAGGAUUAGAUACCCCUGUAGUCCCUGUCUCUUAUAC
rnacentral:rRNA from 1 species